AUCCCAUGGUGAGGAAAGUGCCUUAACAAUUCCUUGAAUCUAUCGUAAGCAUCAAAUAAUGACUCAUCACAUCCUUUCCUAAAUAAAGUGAUCUUAUUCCUCAUCCU